UGUUCUCAGCACAGAAUCGAACCCACGACCUUCCGCUUACUGGGCAGAUGCCAUGACCACUAGGCUACCC